GGCAUGGUGGCCAAGCGGCAAGGCGUUGGUCUAGUAAACCAAAGAUCGUGGGUUCAAGUCCCAUCCGUGCCU